GUGCGGGUACCGAAGCGGUCAAACGGGCUGGACUUAAGAUCCAGUGGCUUAGUGCCUUCGGCGGUUCGAAUCCGCCCCCGCACA
rnacentral:tRNA from 1 species